AGACCAAGAGGUUACCAUCUGAGAUCAGACUGAAGACAACACGGCCUUAAUGUCAGACCAACAGGUUACCAUCUGAGAUCAGACUGAAGACAACACGGCCUUAAUGUCAGACCAACAGGUUACCAUCUGAGAUCAGACUGAAGACAACACGGCCUUAAUGUCAGACCAACAGGUUACCAUCUGAGAUCAGACCAACAGGUUACCAUCUGAGAUCAGACUGAAGACAACACGGCCUUAAUGUCAGACCAACAGGUUACCAUCUGAGAUCAGACUGAAGACAACACGGCCUUAAUGUCAGACCAACAGGUUACCAUCUGAGAUCAGACUGAAGACAACACGGCCUUAAUGUCAGACCAACAGGUUACCAUCUGAGAUCAGACCAACAGGUUACCAUCUGAGAUCAGACCAACAGGUUACCA